UACGAAGGGGGCUAGCGUUGCUCGGAAUCACUGGGCGUAAAGCGCACGUAGGCGGAUUGCUUAGUCAGGGGUGAAAUCCUGGAGCUCAACUCCAGAACUGCCCUUGAUACUGAGGAUCUUGAGUUCGGGAGAGGUGAGUGGAACUGCGAGUGUAGAGGUGAAAUUCGUAGAUAUUCGCAAGAACACCAGUGGCGAAGGCGGCUCACUGGCCCGAUACUGACGCUGAGGCACGAAAGCGUGGGGAGCAAACAGG
rnacentral:rRNA from 1 species